rnacentral:rRNA from 1 species
GGGCCCGCACAAGCAGUGGAGUAUGUGGUUUAAUUCGAAGCAACGCGAAGAACCUUACCAGAUCUUGACAUCCAACUAAUCCUGUAGAAAUAUGGGAGUGCCCUUCGGGGAAAGUUGAGACAGGUGGUGCAUGGUUGUCGUCAGCUCGUGUCGUGAGAUGUUGGGUUAAGUCCCGCAACGAGCGCAACCCUUGUGAUUAGUUGCUACGCAAGAGCACUCUAAUCAGACUGCCGUUGACAAAACGGAGGAAGGUGGGG